rnacentral:rRNA from 1 species
CAGUCGAACGAAACUUCUUUAUCACCGAGUGCUUGCACUCACCGAUACAGAGUAGAGUGGCGAACGGGUGAGUAACACGUGGGCAACCUGCCCAAAAGAGGGGGAUAACACUUGGAAACAGGUGCUAAUACCGCAUAACCAUAGUUACCGCAUGGUAACUAUGUAAAAGGUGGCUAUGCUACCGCUUUUGGAUGGGCCCGCGGCGCAUUAGCUAGUUGGUGGGGUAAAGGCUUACCAAGGCAAUGAUGCGUAGCCGAACUGAGAGGUUGAUCGGCCACAUUGGGACUGAGACACGGCCCAAACUCCUACGGGAGGCAGCAGUAGGGAAUCUUCCACAAUGGGCGAAAGCCUGAUGGAGCAACGCCGCGUGGGUGAAGAAGGUCUUCGGAUCGUAAAACCCUGUUGUUAGAGAAGAAAGUGCGUGAGAGUAACUGUUCACGUUUCGACGGUAUCUAACCAGAAAGCCACGGCUAACUACGUGCCAGCAGCCGCGGUAAUACGUAGGUGGCAAGCGUUAUCCGGAUUUAUUGGGCGUAAAGGGAACGCAGGCGGUCUUUUAAGUCUGAUGUGAAAGCCUUCGGCUUAACCGGAGUAGUGCAUUGGAAACUGGGAGACUUGAGUGCAGAAGAGGAGAGUGGAACUCCAUGUGUAGCGGUGAAAUGCGUAGAUAUAUGGAAGAACACCAGUGGCGAAAGCGGCUCUCUGGUCUGUAACUGACGCUGAGGUUCGAAAGCGUGGGUAGCAAACAGGAUUAGAUACCCUGGUAGUCCACGCCGUAAACGAUGAAUGCUAAGUG